AUGGAUCCAGCAGAGGUUCUGCAAGUCAGGUUUAAUUAUGGGGGACAGUUCAUCCAUAUUGGCCCAUCCCUUGAUUAUGUUGGGGGAGAUACUGCAAUGUCAGUGAUUGAGAGGGAUAAGUUGUCAUUGCCAGAGGUGAAAGGAUUUUUAGCUGAUCAUUUAACUGUUAAAGAGAGUAUGAAGUUAUAUUUUCUUAUGCCUGGGAGAGAGCUAGUGAAUGGACUAAUGUUUUUGCAUACUGAUGAAGCUUGUAUGAAGAUGUUAGACCAUAUUACUGAUGCAGGGGUUGCUGAUAUAUUUGUGGAGUACAAUGGUGAGCAAGAUGAACCAGAGAAAGAUUCUAGUGGCUCUGACUUUUAAGAUGAACUGCAUGAUCUGAUGGACAAAGGAGAAGAUAUUGUCCAAAGUAUUGUGCAGCCAGAGCAUGACAUUUUGGAACAUAUCCUGGUUCCUAAUGAAGGUGGUGUAGUUACUGAAAUUAUAAGCAGCCCUAUGAAGCAC
rnacentral:rRNA from 1 species